GAUAGCCUUAGAUUCCUGGAGGUACGCUCAUUAUUUUGAGUUGCAGAGCGAAAAGGACAAGAAGAACAUAGUGGUCAAAUGCAAUCUGUGUGUAGGUGGAAAACUUCUGUCAACUGCCAAAAACUCAACCUCGAAUUAAAAAAAACAUCUCUCCUCAAAACACCCCUCCACCAAGUUGGUCGGACUUCCUGCCGAGGGAAUGGAGGACAGUGGUGGUGCUCUGGCUGCUAAGCAACAGCGUCUUAGUUUUAGUGCUAGCUCGGCUGUGGCUAAAACGGUGUCCGCCAGUGAAAUCCACAAGCUUGUGGCUGGUUACGUAGUUGAGGAGAUGCUCCCUAUUUCUACUGUUGAGUCUCCAUCUUUUCGUAGAAUAAUCAAUAAAAUACCAACGACAAGCAAAACAGGGGAAGCGAUGCCGGAUCGAAAAACCUUUGCCAAUUACUUAGACAGGCGGGUCACUCCAGGCUGCUGCAGUCAUCGUCACUGUCGCUGCUAGUUGUAUCAUCCAGGAUGACCGGUGAAGGACUCGGAGGAGGAAGACUGAACUGCUGGGGACCUGGAAUGUAGAAGAUCAUCGUUAAGCGUACAAUUUGGUAACAUGGGUAAUGUUUGGCUUUCUUGCUUUCUAAAUCAAGCUUAUGGUAUUAAUGCCAUUGACUUGAAUAUUAUUCUGUUCAAUAUCAAUGAUGAAGCCCUGUGAUAGUUUUAGCAGCAUUUUCUCUCAACACGUGGCUACUGAUUGAUGUGCUAACUAGCUUUUUUAAUCUCUAGUGCUAGUUAGAUGUUUGCCAAGAGUUAGUGGGAGACUUUCCCACUUCCUUACUAAAUUCGUUCAAAUUCGCUCAUCAUCAUUGUUCUAAAAUUAAAGAAAUAGUGUUGAGCAAAGAAGACAAGUUUGAGGGGAAAAUAACAUCCCUGAGACCGACGUCGUACAGUAGCCUAGUUAUGCUAUUUUGCAACCAUGCUUUUGGCGAUAACGGGAAACGUGCUUUCUACAUUUUAUGGUGAAAUCCAAACAUUACUUACCGAUUUUAAGAACUACGAUUAAAGUUACCAAUUGCAAGUGGGAAAUGUAAAAAACGUGUGGAUAGGAUAUUGUGCCAAUUUGCCAUUUGGGGAGUUUAUUUUUUUUGUCAUUACGUUUAGAAUUGACUUUAUAUCUUGUCUUUCCAUAAGAUGCAAGGAAUAUGGCUACAUGGGUUUAUAUUAGAGGGCAAAUGUUAAAGAAAUACAAGUCAGAUAGUACAUGUACCCACCAUUGACAGGAGUGCCACAACGCGUUUCACCCAAUGCGUCUUCAGGUUCGAACCUGAAAACGCAUUGGGCGAAACGCGUUGUUCGCUCCUAAAAAUAAAGAGAAAAAAGAACAGUAUCCAGUGUGCGGUGUUUAAUGAACUUUUCAUAUUUGAUCACGUUUUCCUGCCUAACACCUGCACCUGGAAAGCUGAAGGGUUGUGCACAAGGACUUUCAUGCACUUGGAUCUUUGGUAAUGCAUUGUAGCAAAGAACUGAAAUAUAUCAGUAUUAUAGAAGUCAUGACUAUACCAGGGCCUUUUCCUGGGAUUUCUCCCUCAGAAGAUCCUCCACCCUUUGAAGGUCUUCCUCGCAGUUCAUUGGGAACUUAAAUUCCUCAGAUAGAGUGUCUGCUGCUGCUGCUGCUGUAGUUUUUUGCCUAGUAAGGGCCUGGAGGAGGAGGUUGUUCUGCCUCACCAAGGCCUUCAACUCCUCCACAGCACGCAGGAGUGCAUGAUCCCGUUCUACAGGACAGAAAAACAUCAUGACUGUCAUGUCAAGACCCUUUGCUAAAAUUAACAGACUUAAGUUUAAACAGAUUUUCAGUAUUGCUGUGUAAGGCCAGAUGUUUGUGUACCGAAUUGACUUUGAAUGUUGCCAGAGAUCUGGGCAGAGCCUGUUCAAGAGCAGCUGAUGUGUGGGCAGCAACUGUAGGCAAGAAGAUGUAUAUUUAUAAUCAGAGUAGUCAGUGUAUUGAAGUUCAUUACAUUCAAAUUUCCCAGAUUCGAGACAUUCAAAAGAGAUAGUGAGUAGAAUAGCAGAAUUCAGAUUUGGAAUGAUGUGUUAUACCUUUAUGUAUGUCCUGCUGUGAUGAUCUAAAAGCAGGUGGGGAAAGCAGGGGCUUGUGGAGGACUCCUUUUUUUUCUUUUUUCUUAGCCCUAUACAUUGGAACAGUACAAGAGUAUGAACAACAACAGUUUUGUAAGACUGCAAACUUGCCAAUCACAAAAUGUCUUUAUGUGAGUGAUAAUGCAUGGCCAUCUGUAAUCAGACCUUGUAUGCUUCUCCCCCUCAUCUGCAGGCACAGUUUCUUUCAGCUUUGAGGAAGGGCUGCAUUAGAAAAUAAAUCACUCAAUAAGCAUGCAUUGUUUUGUGUAGCUGAUGGUUUUCAUAGUAUAGAUUACUGCACAGUGCUUAAAUUCUCCUUUUACCCCCUUCAUCAUCUGAUGUCAGGGUGCUCCUGGUUUGGGCUUUUUUCAGGUUCAUACGCGCUGCAUCAUAAUUGGCUGUUGAAGACAACAAUGAAUUCCCAUCUCUCAGACUUACCUGAUCCUCCAUCCAAACUCUGAUGUUGGAAUCCAUGCUGUCCAGUCCAUGUGAAGAGCACAGGAAGGCUUGUUGCAGCACACUUAAUAGUAGGGUAUCACCAUAUGUCUGGUUGAGCUCCACAAAAGAUCUCGUCUGGCUCAGCUGUUUGAAGCGCAUCUACCUAAAUGUGUCAUUGUAAGGUGGUCUCCCUCUCUCCCUCCCUCCCUUAUAACUCCUAGGCACACCAGGUGCAAAGUCCAGCACAAAUUGGGUCACCAAGCCUACAUCUAGGUGUUGUAAUGGACUGUCCGCUUUUAAAGCCUAAGGGGAGAAAAGUGACCUGGGGGCAUAUCCCUUCCUUCAAGCAAUCACCCUUGCGGAGGUACCUUCCCUUACACCCA